rnacentral:lncRNA from 1 species
CUCCUCUUUGGCAUGAUGCAGCAAUCAUGGUGGCAUGAUAAAGUGAAGAUUUUGAAAAUGGCUAACCAGCCAUGGGGGAAAGUAUGAUCAUUGAACAAAAUAGAAGAAUUUAAAGAAUUCGUAAAGAAAAGACCAGACCUGAACAGAAAAUUUGAUGUCCAACACAGAACUCAAGAGAAUCAUUGAAAGAGAAACCAACUCCUCUACCAGCCAGAGUCUUCUCAUCCUCAGGAUUCCAAACUCCUGUCCUCCCUCAUUGAGAUGAUCAGUUCCACACACUCUUCAGCCUGGCACUUUUCUUAUGUGCCAGCCUCUGUCACAAGAUUGAUGUGAGGUGUUUUCUCAUACUUGUGAAUCUAGGCAACUCAGAUAUCUUGUAUGAAAGGCAGUCCCAUUCUUUUCAGCUAGUUACUGU